rnacentral:rRNA from 1 species
UACGUAGGGGGCAAGCGUUGUCCGGAUUCCUUGGGCGUAAAGAGCGUGUAGGCGGCCCGAUAAGUCCGCUGUGAAAGUCCAGGGCUCAACCCUGGAAUGCCAGUGGAAACUGUCGGGCUGGAGUCCGGAAGAGGCGAGUGGAAUUCCUGGUGUAGCGGUGAAAUGCGCAGAUAUCAGGAGGAACACCAAUGGCGAAGGCAGCUCGCUGGGACGGUACUGACGCUGAGACGCGAAAGCGUGGGGAGCAAACAGG